ensembl:lncRNA
GUCAAUAUUCUGUCCAAGAACCCAUAAAACGUCUUCAGAUGAAAAUACACAAGAUAGGAAGGUCCCAUUCCAAACGGCCACGAGGCAUAUUCUGAUGUAACUGGGGGCAGGGGGAUUCUAAGGACCCUGAGCAGCAUCACUUUUCCUAAAAACAAAACUGAAAUCUGUGUCUUGAGAUCAAGAUUGAUCACAAUUUUUUCAACCUGUGAAAAAGACAAGCUGCGGGAAAGUUGACCAGCCUGGCCAGACCUGUGUGUCUCAUGUUCCAAGGAAGCCCCCAGGUCAUGAUACUUACUGCAAAGCUUCUACUGCAAAAAUAAUUAUUAUCUGCUCUCCUGGAACAGAAAGUGGAGCAGACCCCUUGUCUGGCUUCCUCCGACAGACUCCUCGCCCUUCAGCAUUCCCAGAGCCUUGCUUUGGAGACUGGAGUUCACUGGUGGAGUUCUGGCCAGAUGACCCUGGUCUUUCCAGGAGAGAGAAGGGCCUGUGUUCCCUAAAUUGCGGUCGGCAUCCACACUGUGAAGCUGGAACCUCCUCCUUCCAGGCUGUUCUACACCUCAAUGGUCUCCAGGUGUCACAGCAAGGUGUGGUGUGUGGGGCUGGGCCCGGCUCACCCACAGGUGGUUGCCAAUCAGAACCAUCUGAGGAGCUACAGCAAGGCUCUCCCAGGGGCCUCACGAUGGAUGAGGCAGUGCAUUGGCCCUGGGGUCAAAAGACAUGGUAAUCCUUCCAUCACAGCAACACCAGGAAGGGCAUGCAGACAGAGCCCACUGCCAGAAAAAAAAAAAAAAGUCUCUUUCUGAGCCUCUUGUGAACAUAUACAAAGUCCAAAAAAACAUACAAAACUUUCCUUCUCUUUCCCUAUCAGGACAUGAGUCAGUUAAACAGUCCCUUCUAUUUCUUUUUCUACUUCUUUGCCUUCCUUUCCUGUCCUGGCUCCCUCCUGCUGCUGCACCUCAUGGGCAAGGCAUUAAUCCAGGACAGACAGACAACUCCUGGCUCCACUCAGGGAGGCAAAUGCAGAUC